GGCAACUUGGCCGAGCGGUUAAGGCGCCAGAAUCAGGAUCUGGUCCGAAAGGGCGAGGGUUCGAAUCCCUCAGUUGUCA
rnacentral:tRNA from 1 species